UUUUCAAAGGCCCAUGUCGGAUAUCGCGCUACGUAGGAGAAAAUGCACUCUAUCUAGUGGAUCCAGAGAAUGCAGAAAACGAAAUCGAUAUGGCCAUUGAGCUUUUAGAAAAGCAAAAUCAGGGGCUGAAUCCGAGCGACUGGGUCGUCGACAGGGGCAGUGGAAACAGGGACGCUUGGAGCGCCCACGUCUCCUGUCUGAAGGCGAUCCUCUGAAGGUCCUAAAAAAGUGCAGCUUUAGACCCUUCGGGAGGGUGAAGAAAAACGAAAUGAGCAAGAUGUUCCGGGCUUACUCAACGAUACCUCCCACACUACGAAAUUGUUCCGAACCCACCCAACAAUACCGUACGCAUAUCGAAAGUGUUUCGAACCCACUCUAUAACUCUACGUAUUAAAGAUAAGAGGUUGUAUGUGUCUGGAACAAUGAAUACUGAAAGAAUAAAUUAUCACAGUAGCUAAAAGAUUGAA